GACGAACGCUGGCGGCGUGCCUAACACAUGCAAGUGGAGCGACGAACCAGGCUUCGGCCUGGGGCAAGGCCGCGAACGGGUGAGUAACACGUGGGUAACCUGCCCUGAUGAUUGGGACAACCCGAGGAAACUCGGGCUAAUACCGAAUGUGCCCUCCGGCCUCAAGGCCGCUGGGGAAAGGAAGCUUCGGCCUCCGCAUCGGGAUGGGCCCGCGGCCCAUUAGCUUGUUGGUGAGGUAACGGCNCACCAAGGCGACGAUGGGUAGCUGGUCUGAGAGGACGAUCAGCCACACUGGGACUGAGACACGGCCCAGACUCCUACGGGAGGCAGCAGUGGGGAAUCUUGCGCAAUGCGCGAAAGCGUGACGCAGCAACGCCGCGUGGGGAAGAAGGCCUCGG
rnacentral:rRNA from 1 species